AUUGAACGCUGGCGGCAGGCCUAACACAUGCAAGUCGAACGAGUGGCGGACGGGUGAGUAAUGUCUGGGAAACUGCCUGAUGGAGGGGGAUAACUACUGGAAACGGUAGCUAAUACCGCAUACCAUCGGAUGUGCCCAGAUGGGAUUAGCUAGUGGGGGGGGUAACGGCUCACCUAGGCGACGAUCCCUAGCUGGUCUGAGAGGCUGACCAGCCACCCUGGAAUGGUGACACGGUCCAGACGCCUACGUGAGGCAGCAGUGGGGAAUAUUGCACAAUGGGCGCAAGCCUGAUGCAGCCAUGCCGCGUGUGUGAAGAAGGCCUUCGGGUUGUAAAGCACUUUCAGCGGGGAGGCGUUACCCGAAGAAGAAGCACCGGCGAACUCCGUGCCAGCAGCCGCGGUAAUAC
rnacentral:rRNA from 1 species